UCGAACGAAGCGCUACCGACGGAACUUUUCGGAGGGAAGAUGGUAAUGACUGAGUGGCGGACGGGUGAGUAACGCGUGGGUAACCUGCCUCACAGAGGGGGACAACAGCCGGAAACGGCUGCUAAUACCGCAUAACAAGGGAUCUCCGCAUGAAGGUUCCUUCAAAGAUUUAUCGCUGUGAGAUGGACCCGCGUCUGAUUAGCUAGUUGGCAGGGUAACGGCCUACCAAGGCGACGAUCAGUAGCCGGCUUGAGAGAGUGAACGGCCACAUUGGGACUGAGACACGGCCCAGACUCCUACGGGAGGCAGCAGUGGGGAAUAUUGCACAAUGGGGGAAACCCUGAUGCAGCGACGCCCCGUGAGUGAAGAAGUAUUUCGGUAUGUAAAGCUCUAUCAGCAGGGAAGAUAAUGACGGUACCUGACUAAGAAGCCCCGGCUAACUACGUGCCAGCAGCCGCGGUAAUACGUAGGGGGCAAGCCGUUAUCCGGAUUUACUGGGUGUAAAGGGAGCGUAGGUGGCAGGGCAAGUCAGAUGUGAAAACCCGGGGCUCAACCCCGGGAUUGCAUUUGAAACUGUCCGGCUGGAGUGCAGGAGAGGUAAGUGGAAUUCCUAGUGUAGCGGUGAAAUGCAUAGAUUUUUGGAGAAACACCAGUGGCGAAGGCGGCUUACUGGACUGUAACUGAC
rnacentral:rRNA from 1 species